rnacentral:rRNA from 1 species
GACGGAAGGUGCAAGCGUUGCUCGGAAUCACUGGGCGUAAAGGGUGCGUAGGUGGGCUGGUAAGUCAGUGGUGAAAUCUCCAGGCUUAACUUGGAAACUGCCAUUGAUACUAUCAGUCUUGAAUACCGUGGAGGUCAGCGGAAUAUGUCAUGUAGCGGUGAAAUGCUUAGAUAUGACAUAGAACACCAAUUGCGAAGGCAGCUGGCUACACGAAUAUUGACACUGAUGCACGAAAGCGUGGGGAUCAAACAGG